CGGUCCACCGGUUCCGUUCCUCGUGCUUUGCCGGGCCUUGUUUUUAUGGCUCAGAGCCCCUGCUGAGUUCCCUCCUGCGUCGGAUGCCAGAACUGGAGACUCUGGAGAUCGUGAAGUUGGUCAACUGCCCCGAGACCUUCACCCCAGACAUGAGGUGUAUCAUGGGAGAGUCUCCUGCAGUGCAGGGCUACUAUGUCCUGGUGGGAGUGAACUCUGCUGGCCUGUCGUUUGGAGGAGGGGCUUGAAGGUUGUCAGAGGAUGGUGAAGACUCAGAUGCCAGCACAUGCGUUCAUCAGGCAGAGGAUAAGAAGAGCCAGAAAUCAAGGUGGUGGGUUCUCCCUUCAGUGAAGCAAAACCGCUUUUGGUAAACUGUCAUUCCUGCCACUUCCAUGGUGGGGAGGCGGGGUUAACGUUUCAAAUGCAUUCAGAGGCAGGGUAAGGGAGAAAGGUGGAGUUACUUUCCACUUUUAGAACGGAAAGAGGUAAAACUGUUGGUGUGUUUAAGAAGGUAGAAUCCAGGGACAGCAUGUCUCCUUGUGAGAGUCCAAGUAGCUGGACUCUCCUCCUGCAGAAACGGGAUAACUGAGGUUACUCACUGAGCUUAACGGUCUCUGGGCCCCUGUUCUGAACAGCAUCACUUGUAUUUGGGGGUACAGGGCCCCCCAGCCGGGCACAGGACAUCAGAUAGGCUAUCCAAGCAGGUAGAUCUUGUCCCUUUUUGCUCUGUGUUCGUCUGAGGCUGGCACGCUUUCUGUUUCCAGAUAAAACAAGAUUGUCCAGUUGAAUAUGUGGACAAGACAGAAGAACACAGAGCCCCUCCCUCAAGAGACCAUAAGAAGUGACGAAGGAUCAUUUCACAGAGAAAAAAGUACCAGCCAUCUGAAACCCAAGUCCCGCCACGCAUUCACAAAGCAUCCAGAUCCUUUGAAUCUCUAGGGACAGAGGAGCAGACACACAAGGCAAACCCAUGAUGGGAACGACAGACUGCAGGAUGUUCUGUCAGGUAUGCUGAAGUCAGGAACGAGUCACCCACUUCAGGGUUAGGACCAAAGAGAGACAAGUGCCAGAUUCACAUUGUUAACCAAGAAAGAUUUCCAGGGUGAAUUUUAAAGUGCCAAAAGCUGAGUGUGUGUGUCAGGGCACUCAAUAAAUACAUCUUGCC